UUGUUGGUUUUUGUUUGUUUGUUUCUCUCCUGUAGAUCUACUGAGGCUUUUUGUUGUGGGCAGCUGGCCAGUGUUUUUCUACUGGUUUCUGUCUCCAUAGAUCUGUUAUCAGAAAGGCUCCUCAUGACCUUCAACAGUGGAAAAGAAAAAUAUUUGAAAACUUACAAGUUCAUUU